CAUUUAAAUAUUCUUCCUUUGUUAUUAUUUUUAUAUCUUCUUCAGUCAUUUGAUUCAUCUAAUUUACUAUCUAUUUCAUUAUCUGUUUCAUUCUCCGAAAUUUCAUAUAUACUAUCUUCACUUUCUAAUUCGUAAUCUAUAUAAUCUAUUUGCAUAUAUUCUGUAUUUUCUAUUUUUAUUUCUGAUAUUUGUUUCUUUUUUGGGUCUUUAGGUA
rnacentral:lncRNA from 1 species